rnacentral:rRNA from 1 species
GAACUUAAGCAUAUCAAUAAGCGGAGGAAAAGAAACCAACAGGGAUUACCUCAGUAACGGCGAGUGAAGCGGUAACAGCUCAAAUUUGAAAUCUGGCUCUUUCAGGGUCCGAGUUGUAAUUUGUAGAAGAUGCUUCGGGUGUGGCUCCGGUCUAAGUUCCUUGGAACAGGACGUCAUAGAGGGUGAGAAUCCCGUGUGUGACUGGCUGCCUCCGCCCAUGUGAAGCUCUUUCGACGAGUCGAGUUGUUUGGGAAUGCAGCUCAAAAUGGGUGGUAAAUUUCAUCUAAAGCUAAAUAUUGGCCAGAGACCGAUAGCGCACAAGUAGAGUGAUCGAAAGAUGAAAAGCACUUUGGAAAGAGAGUUAAACAGUACGUGAAAUUGUUGAAAGGGAAGCGCUUGCAAUCAGACUUGCGCGUUGCCGAUCAUCUGGGGUUCUCUCCAGUGCACUCGGUAGCGCUCAGGCCAGCAUCGGUUUGGGUGGUGGGAUAAAGGCCUUGGGAAUGUAGCUUCUUUCGGGGAGUGUUAUAGCCCUCGGUGCAAUGCCGCCUAUCCGGACCGAGGACCGCGCUUCGGCUAGGAUGCUGGCGUAAUGGUUGUAAGCGACCCGUCUUGAAACACGGACCAAGGAGUCUAACAUUUAUGCGAGUAUUUGGGUGUUAAACCCAUAUGCGUAAUGAAAGUGAACGGAGGUGAGAACCCUUAAGGGUGCAUCAUCGACCGGUCCUGAUGUCUUCGGAUGGAUCUGAGUAAGAGCAUAACUGUUGGGACCCGAAA